GUGCAGCAGGCGCGAAACCUCCACAAUGCGCGCAAGCGCGAUGGGGCUACCUCGAGUGCCACCUGAUGAAGGUGGCUUUUCCACGGUGUAAGGAGCCGUGGGAAUAAGAGGGGGGCAAGACUGGUGUCAGCCGCCGCGGUAACACCAGCCCCUCGAGUGGUGGGGACGAUUAUUGGGCCUAAAGCGUCCGUAGCCGGCCUGGUAAGUCCCCCGUUAAAUCCAGCGUCUCAAGCGCUGGACCGCGGGGGAGACUGCCGGGCUAGGGGGUGGGAGAGGCCAGCGGUAUUCCUGGGGUAGGGGUAAAAUCCUCUGAUCCCAGGAGGACCACCAGUGGCGAAGGCUGCUGGCUAGAACACGCCCGACGGUGAGGGACGAAAGCUGGGGGAGCGAACCGGAUUAGAUACCCCCGGUAGU
rnacentral:rRNA from 1 species